rnacentral:rRNA from 1 species
UACAGAGGUCUCAAGCGUUGUUCGGAUUUAUUGGGCGUAAAGGGCGCGUAGGCGGCGGGGUAAGUCGGGUGUGAAAUCUCAGGGCUCAACCCUGAAAAUGCACUUGAUACUGCUCUGCUUGAGGACUGGAGAGGAGACUGGAAUUCACGGUGUAGCAGUGAAAUGCGUAGAGAUCGUGAGGAAGACCAGUGGCGAAGGCGGGUCUCUGGACAGUUCCUGACGCUGAGGCGCGAAGGCCAGGGGAGCAAACGGG